rnacentral:rRNA from 1 species
UGCUUGCACCUGGUGGAUGAGUGGCGAACGGGUGAGUAAUACGUGAGUGACCUUCCUUGGACUCUGGGAUAAGCCCGGGAAACUGGGUCUAAUACCGGAUACGACCAGUCCUCGCAUGGGGUGCUGGUGGAAAGGGUUUGUACUGGUUCUUGAUGGGCUCACGUCCUAUCAGCUUGUUGGUGAGGUAAUGGCUUACCAAGGCGACGACGGGUAGCCGGCCUGAGAGGGUGACCGGCCACACUGGGACUGAGACACGGCCCAGACUCCUACGGGAGGCAGCAGUGGGGAAUAUUGCACAAUGGGCGCAAGCCUGAUGCAGCGACGCCGCGUGGGGGAUGACGGCCUUCGGGUUGUAAACCUCUUUCAGCAGGGAAGAAGCGAAAGUGACGGUACCUGCAGAAGAAGCGCCGGCUAACUACGUGCCAGCAGCCGCGGUAAUACGUAGGGCGCAAGCGUUGUCCGGAAUUAUUGGGCGUAAAGAGCUCGUAGGCGGUUUGUCGCGUCUGCUGUGAAAGCCCGGGGCUCAACCCCGGGUGUGCAGU